AUUGAACGCUGGCGGCAGGCCUAACACAUGAAAGUCGAGCGGAGCGGCGGACGGGUGAGUAAUGCCUAGGAAUGUGCCUGGUAGUGGGGGAUAACGUCAGGAAAGGGGCGGUAAUACCGCAUAAUAUCAGAUGAGGCUAAGAUGGAUUAGAUAGUUGGUGGGGUAAAGGCCUACAAAGGAGACGAUCCGUAACUGGCAUGAUAGGCUGAUCAGUCACCCUGGAACGUAGACACGGUCCAGACUCUUACGUGAGGCAGCAGUGGGGAAGAUUGGACAAUGUGCGCAAGUCUGAUCCAGCCAGGCCGCGUGUGUGAAGAAGGUCUUCGGAUUGUAAAGCACUUUAAGUUGGGAGGCGUUACCAACAGAAUAAGCACCGGCUAACUUCGUGCCAGCAGCCGCGGUAAUAC
rnacentral:rRNA from 1 species